CUAGUACAAUAGCAGGCUCUGCAGCUCCUGGAACCAGCUCGAAGAUUCUGCCAACCGCUAAGUAUUUUCUUCCCUUUGUACACUCAGGGGCUGGGAAAAUGACCACCAAGUGGGUCCCUGGCUACAAUAGGCCCAUUGUGAGAUGGACCCAGGCCAGGACCCCACUUAUGACCUGGUCCACAUGCACCCUUCCUCUACCGUAACUUGAUGGUCCUUGGAUCCCUGGCUAUCAAUGUCAAUUUGGACCCUCCAUGCGACAGCCCUUGAAAAAUCUGGGUAGCCUGCUGUGGAAUGUGCCACUCGUCUCUCUCUUCAGGAGAGAACCUGCCACGAGUCAGGGCCCCUGGCUGCCCUCCCAACCUUGCUGUCCUUUCCAGAAAUUGCACCCACCCUGCUUGUGACAGAUAAGUGCUAUCCUCUGGUCUCUGCUAUGGCAGAAUCCCAUUAUCUCCAUUGCUACUCAGGAGCUCAGUUCUGUAGCAACAUCUCCCAUUGUCAGGCCCAGCUUACAGAGGACAGCCACCCCCGGGCUUCUCGACGACGCUGCUGGGUCCUCCCCAGUCAAUUCCUUAUCACCGUGUUAAAGAGGUGGGCCCUCUUGAGGAACUUAGUCAGCUGGGGGGGUUCCAAUAUACCAGAGAAGACCCAUUCUAGCUUGCCCACUUCUCCAAACCUUUGCACACCUUCCUCCACGGUCGGCUACAGCUGUUCCAGCAUCUCCUUCACUGAAUGUCCACCAUCACUUCCUCCAAGGUUCUGAGAACCAUCUCCAAGGGCCCUUCCAGUGGCAGACCUGAGAAUCUUUCUGCAUUGCUGAACCCUUCCAUAUCCAGCUUGUAGCCAGCUUCCCGUGAUCAGGAAGCUUCAGAGUCCACUCCUAGAAAUAUUCUCCCCUUCUCCGCCAGUCCCUGCUGGUUUGCUCCUGUGGCUCCUCUGAGGUAUUGCACAAGCCAGGGCACCCCCGUCCACCUGAGCCCUGCCCCAGGUGACCAAGGUGGAAGCUGAGCAGCUGGGACCGCCCGCACGCCAGCCCCCACCAGUGGCGGGGCCUCAUCACAACUGGCCAGCACGGCAUCCAACACCAGACGCCCAUCCUUGGAGGCGGCUUCUGGGACCGCUCCGGAGACUCCCUGCCUUCGGAAGCAGCACCUGAGGCAGGGUUUGGGAGCAGGGACCUCCCAGCAGGGAUUUCGUCAGGGACAAACCCCUCAGAGGGAGAAGGAAGCAGGAGGAAGAGGAAAGGCCGAGCAGAGCAAGGAUGUGGUCUCAGGCUCAGCCCAGCCUUGGCCUGAGGCCCAAGUUGCCCCACAGACUCAACCACGUCUGGAGGCGAGGGGACAGCCUCUUACAUGCUGCAUCAGUCAGCCGUUGGCUACGGGCUGUCCCCGGAACCUUCCAGGCCUGUGGCUCCGGCAGCCGAGGGCACUUCUCCAGAGCAGGGGGCGGAAAGGGGGGUGGUCGGGCGGGACGCCACCAGCAGCUACUCGGGCUGAAUCCCUAGCCAACUUCUGUUUCACGGUCUCUAGUGGGAGUCAGCCACCCGCCCAACGUGUCCCCCAAGCUGCAGGGGACACAGAGCGAGCUCUCCCAGUGGCUCUGUAGAUGCCUCUCCAUGCCGACUUGAGGAGUGGGGGCCGUCUCCCCCAAAAGGAGCCAGAAAGUCAGACCUUAACUGUCCGUCAUCUCAGGGUGUGAGCUGCAUCUGAUUAUCCUCGGCACGAGGGCUAACCCCCACCCUCACCCCCCAAAAUCAGCGGAAACAGAGGCCAGAGCUCUACCCCUGCACCCCCACAUGGAAGCCAGGAGCAACGCGGCGGAGGAGAGCGCCACCUGGUGGACGGCAACGGCGCGGGAAUCUGCAAGGGGUUGAAGGCGACAAACUUGAGGACGGCGUCCCAGGGAGGGUGGGGUCAAGGGGCUGGAGGGCAAAGGGUAUAAAGGGACAGGGCUUGGGAAAGUGGAGGAACCAAAUGGGGGCGCCCUGAGCCCCACCCCAGCCUGCCUCUGCCCACAUAAGGGAGCAAAUUCCAACACCGACACUUAUCCAGUCUCUGUCUCCUCCUCUGACUGUUGAGGGAAAUUUCCUGAACAUUCCAAGAAAGACUCACUUAAAAUCCAUUUGCUUUAUUCUAAGAAAAAGGGUAAGGAAAAAUUCAGAAAGGGAAGAGGGUGUCCACUCUCCAUAGCGGCUGGGGGGGCGUUGGCCCACUCCCUCAGCAUGGUCUCUCAGCUCGGGGACACCGUGGGGGGCGACUGACUCCCACCAGAGACAAUGAAAUGGUGGCUGAGUAAUGAUUCAGCCAGAGGUAGCAG
rnacentral:lncRNA from 1 species